GCAAAUGUAGCUCCGUGAUAGAGUGCUUGCUUAGCAUGCAUGAGGCCUUGAGUUCUAUUCCCAGCAUAGCA
rnacentral:tRNA from 1 species